GAAGUAGCUCGAGGUCUUGACCCCUAAGCAGUCCGCGCAGCCUGAAGGAUGCUCGGGCCUCCGCUUUCGGCAGCACAGGCGAAGCCCGGAAGCGGGACCACGUCUGCUGGAGUCCGUACUGUGACAGCACUCUGCUGGCGUCCAUGUCUUAUCCUGGUCACGUCGUUAGGAGCCUGAACCGCCUUCUAACUCAACUAGCUGACUUUCUGGCUAGUGUUGCUGACUUCCCGGCCCAUAGGAGAGUCCUCAGUCUGGAGUGAUCACAAGAGUGCCAUCCUUGCAAGUCCCAGACGCAGCCCACACUCCAGGAGGGCCUUCUCUGCCUCCUCCAGGAACGCGCGGCUCCCUUUGACCUCACCACCACUCCGUUGGCCGCGCUGGGCACGUCACGCCCCCUCUGCCGCCUCGGUGAAUGCGCUGCGCCUUGACUCCGUCUCGGCGCCGGCGCCGUAGUCCACCCUGCGCGUUUGGUGGCUCCGAUGGCGGGCGUAUCCGAGAGGAAGCUGCAGCUCUGUGUGUUAUUGGCCUUCGCCUCCGGAGUGCUCGUGGGCUGGCAGGCGAACCGGCUGCGGAGGCGCUACCUGAACUGGAAGAAGCGGAGGCAGCAGGAGAAGCUGGCGGCGACGCAGAAAGAGCUAGACCUGGCCUGAGUCCCGUGCGGUAGGCCCCUGCUGGUCCCCGCGCUGCCACCCCCGUCUCGCCUGCGCGGGGAUCCGGCCUGAGACCACUGGCUUCACACCCCAUGCGGCCCGAGCCAGGCUCCUGCCGGAGUGUCGGUGAGCAGUCCUUAGUGGCUGUCGCAGGAAACUGGAGGAGAAAGUUCUGUUUUACCCAACAACUUCCAUUUUGGUGUCCUAGUUCAGUUCAUUGGCAAGUGUUUACUGGAAAUGUCUUACCACGUGCGAUGUCGCAGGUUGACAGCGUUCAACUUCAAGGUGUAAAUACUGGAAAGGAGAUGGAAGAAAAGAACGGACUGUGGAGGUGUUCCUGCCACCAUUUCCCCCCUUAUCAUUCUUUUCAAUAAUAUCCUUGGUAGAGCCAUAGUACAUCUUUGCAUUCCUGUUUUGUAAUCUCCAGUCGGAAUUCUUAGGUUAUUGGCACCCUGGUAAAGUGGAAGGAGCAAUGCCCUGGAAGUCAGGAGCCUUGCAUCUAGUCUUGGCUUUUUUAUCAGAGCUGCGCAAGUUUUCAGGGUCUCGGUUUUCUUACCUUUACCACCAGCUCUUAUAGUUCAUGGUAUAACUUCACACUAAGAUAGCUUGAAGUUAAUGAUUAUGUACGUCUAAUUUUUUUCACUCUUUUCUGUUGCCAACAGCUUGUCGAAGAUGGAUGUAAAGCACUGAACAGAAAUCAUUUUUCCCUGCACUUUAUGAAUCAAUUUUAUUUUUAAAAUAAAAAUGUUUUAAACAUC